rnacentral:lncRNA from 1 species
GAGCCAAACACUAAGAGUUAAACACUUGGUGAGAUUCUGAGAAGAACCAGUGAGAUAUCUGAACGAGAAAUAUGUGAGCAUGAGUGAGUGCAAACACAUAGGAAAUUGAGAAGAGUGAAACACUUGUGAGGUACAUAUUAUAAUAUUUAGUAUCGAAAACUCACAUGUUGUUGAAAGAAUUGACGGAAGCAACUACGGUUCAUUCCAUUUCACGGUGUGAACUUAUGGUUGAUGAUUCUCUUGAAUCAAGUGUCUUCACAGACAUUGAGGAGGACUUAGGCCUUUGCCAUAAUUAAGCGUUUGUCUAACCUCCCAGAACAACUCUGGAUCCUUAAUUGGAUAAGCCACUUAGUGGUUGGCAACUUGUGGACCAUGAUUCGGAUUUAUCUGAUGAGUCUGCAGGGACUGGGAAUUACGAACUCCCAUUGCACCACCGGUG